rnacentral:rRNA from 1 species
AGGACGAACGCUGGCGGCGCGCUUAACACAUGCAAGUCGAGCGGAAAGGCCCUUCGGGGUACUCGAGCGGCGAACGGGUGAGUAACACGUGGGCAACCUGCCCCUAGCUCUGGGAUAACUCCGGGAAACCGGGGCUAAUACCGGAUACGAUCUUCCACGGCAUCUCGGAAGAUGGAAAGUUUUUCGGCUAGGGAUGGGCCCGCGGCCUAUCAGCUUGUUGGUGAGGUAACGGCCCACCAAGGCGACGACGGGUAGCCGGCCUGAGAGGGCGACCGGCCACGACUGGGACUGAGACACGGCCCAGACUCCUACGGGAGGCAGCAGUGGGGAAUAUUGCGCAAUGGGCAAAGCCUGACGCAGCGACGCCGCGUGAGGGAUGAAGGCCUUCGGGUGUAAACCUCUUUCAGCAGGACGAAGCGAAAGUGACGGUACCUGCAGAAGAAGCACCGGCCAACUACGUGCCAGCAGCCGC